AUGUGUCUUGUGGUGGCCGUUCCAAAGGUCACACAUAUAUCCUCAUACUCUGCAAUAACCGGAAGUUCCUACAGUUCAUGCUGUCCAUCAUCUUUUACCAUCGAAAUGGUAGCCAAAAAUCUCUUUGCUCUUAUAUCCAAUAACUCCUCAGCAUGUAGCAUGCAUGCAAUAAAAACUUCCAUCUGCUCCAGCAAUAGGAAAUCUUGCCCUCAGACAAUCCAACACUCCUCGAUAUCGUGACAGCCAAUCCAUCUCAAGGAUGACAUCGGAAAAACGUAGCUCCAUCUCUGCCGAGUCUCCGAACAAAUCAGCCCUCCAAGCAUAAGUGGUACACCACGAAGAAUAUAAAUAGUUUUCACGUCAUAUGCCAGCUGUCCUAACUGACACAUCUCUGAAAUGAUUAACAAUGCCAAAAACUGGCAACCAAAACCAAGCGUAACUCCAAUAUCAA
rnacentral:lncRNA from 1 species